rnacentral:lncRNA from 1 species
AACAUCACGUGCAUCGUCGUCAGAUUCCACCACCAUAUCAUGUCUAAGUCUUCCGAAUUAGCCCCUCCUCCAAAGGAUAAUACUACAACAGAAUCGUAAGUGGUGUAAGUUUCACGAUCUCGACUUCAUCCGAGGAAAAUUUCAAAUUUGUUCACACGUAGAGUGAAAUAUCUGCUUGAAAAAUGUUCAUAUUUUUUUAUCAAUCUAUAUUCAACUUUCGAAAUAAGACUUAAGGUUUUAUUCUUCUCAUAGUAUAAUGUGACUUCCCAAGUAUAUAGUCGAGUUAACGAGCCAUUUCGGCAAGCUUAAGGAGCUGAAAGAUCGUUCUACAGUCUAGGUUUAUGAAAGAAACCUCUUCGAUAUUCACUUGCAAAAAAACAGCAGGAUCUGAAAUCAUCUAAAAAAAUAAAUAUUGAACUAACUAAUCAUCAGGAUUUCAAAAUUUAAUUCCAUAAGUUUUUAUUUAUCAAAUCCCAUAAGUUAUCCUCAAAAAUAAAAUAAAAUCGUUACCUAAUAGAGUAAUAGGAUUACAACUCCAAUUAUAAACCGAUCCUUCGACACAAAAGAUAUAAAGGCAAUCGCCGGUGGAAGUAAUUAAUUAGUUAAUCAAUGGACAGACGGCAAGACUUCAUCCCGCAAUACCUCGUCGACGAUAUCUUGCUACGUCUACCCACCGCAGCUGCCGCCGUCUGUUUCCGCCACGUUUGCAAAUCAUGGCGCCGCCUCCUCCCCGGUCGAUGCACCUCCUCUCCCGUGAGUUCAUCCACCGCCACCUGUUAUCGGAAGACAACGACGGCGAAGCCGCCCCAAUAGCUUCAUACUAUUCGUUCUCCUACGACAUGCUCCUCCAUAAUAUGACACCGUAUGAUGACCGCGGUUAUAAUCAAUUUGCUCCACGCAACUUCUCCAUCUUCUCCCUCUCAGGGUAUUUGGACGGCUCCAUGGAAAUCGUUGGCUGCUGCAAUGGAUUGUUCUGCAGUGCUCAAAGGGCCUCCCAGAACCAGAAUCCAGCUCAUCUGAUUCUUUGGAACCCAUCAACUUAAGAGUAUAAGCACUUGCCUAAGUCGAUUUAUGGUUUAGGGUUUGACUUGGAACAGUUUGAUUUCGGGUUCGAUUCCAAAACAGGAGACUAAUAAGUCGUAGCGUAGGCUAUUAGGCUAUAAAUAGUGUUUGAGAUGUGGAGUAGGUAGUUAUCCUGGAUGAUUCCUCCCUAAUCAGAGGCCCUUUUUAAACCAUUGAUUGAAAACACAUCUAUGCCUAUCUUUUUCUGCAGCAACAAUAUAUCCAAA